rnacentral:rRNA from 1 species
AAUGAACGCUGGCGGCGUGCUUAACACAUGCAAGUCGAGCGAGAACGUCGACUUCGGUCGACUAGUAAAGCGGCGAACGGGUGAGUAACACGUGGGUAACCUGCCCUGGAGUGGGGGAUAACCUGGGGAAACUCGGGCUAAUACCGCAUACGACCUCAGCACCGCGGUGCUGAGAGGAAAGCUAGCCUAUUCUUGAAAGCUAGCGCUCUUGGAGGGGCCCGCGCCCGAUUAGCUAGUUGGUGAGGUGACGGCUCACCAAGGCUGCGAUCGGUAGCCGGCCUGAGAGGGUGAUCGGCCACACUGGGACUGAGACACGGCCCAGACUCCUACGGGAGGCAGCAGUGGGGAAUAUUGGACAAUGGGCGCAAGCCUGAUCCAGCAACGCCGCGUGGAGGACGAAGGCCUUCGGGUCGUAAACUCCUGUCAGUUGGGACGAAAAGCCGUCGGUCAAUAGCCGGCGGUCAUGACGGUACCAGCAGAGGAAGCCCCGGCUAACUCCGUGCCAGCAGCCGCCGUAAGAC